UCCAUCAGUCUUCUUGAUGGCAAUGAAAUGUGCUGUCUUUGUGAGUCGAUCCACUACCACCCAUAUUGCAUCCUUAUUGCCCGUGAUCCGGGGCAAUCCUGUCACGAAGUCCAUGGUGACCAUGUCCCAUUUCCACUGGGGUAGUGAAAUCGAUUUUUUUUUUUUUUUUUUAAAGAAAAACAAAUUCCGGCUCAUUAAGGAAAAUCUAACUGCCAGUACCCAUCCGGACGGAACCGGACGGGUUUUAACCUGGCUCUGAUACCAAUUGAAAGACCCGUCCCUUCCCCAACUUCUCCUGGGGUUCCCGGGACGGAGUAGGGGUACACUUGUCACAUUUCCCGACAACCCGUGUAUCCCCUACUGGUCCCCUUUUUAAUUAAAUUCACAACUUAACGAUAAAAGAAACUCCAAAUCCUUUUUAUUGCUUAGAAAUCUUAACGGAAAUCAUAAGUAACAAGUUUAAACACCGGUCUUGAAAAGCAAACGAUUUAAAAAUAAGAACAUGAAAAAUAACAACAUUCCCGGCCCAGGAACCAUCACCACUCCAACCUUACUCCUGCGUUUCCUCGUCCGUACCUGCGGAAGAGAGGGGUGAGCAUUUUGGGGAAAAUACUCAGUGAGGACGGGUUCUAGGAACCCGCUAACUCUUAUCAAAACACAUAACACAGCAAGUAUUAGAACGUAAUCUAGCAGGGCUAGCAGUUAACAAUCAAACACCCUAGACGCCUAGGACCUACACAGCUCAAGCGGACCAACCCUCCCCUUUCUUGCUGCAUCCCUAUGAAGUCGCCUGCCCUGGUACACCCGGCAUCCGGUUCCCUUGGAUGUAGUCCAUACCCCUUGCAGUGUAUUACGACCCCUUCCCGCCAAGACUCGGCGUGACUCAAUCUUACCGGCGCCUCUAUUCUUACUUGCCGUUUUUGAACGCUACGGCCGCCGCGUUUCCCAUACUCCCCACCAGUCCCUCGGUGGUUUGUAUUUCAUUCAACUUUCUUAGUUUCUCUUAGUCUUACUAGACUCUUUCUUUCUUUAGUCAUUCUAGACUCUUACUUUAUUUACUUUCUUUCCCUAGAUCCACUAGGUUCUCAAUCAUCAUCAACAUUUCAUCAAUCUCAUCAUUGAUUUCAUUCAUUCAUCAUAACAAUCAACCUAGCUCAUACUAGAUACUCCCUAAUACUAUACAGGGUUAGGGAUCUUGAGAGGAGUUCACAGACAAGUCCUCACCUUAAUUGGUUAUCGGACUGGAUCUAAGACAGCAAGGUAGCAGUUUCUGUUCCGGAUCUGGCUCUCGGAAGUCUGGAUGAGAGAAAGGGAGUUUUUGAUCUCAGAUCUACAUCACCGAAGACUAGGAAGAAUAGGGAUCUGAGGUUUUACCUUAAUGCUCUAAACGCAGGCGGUUACACUCCACAGAAUCGAGAAGCCGACGGCUUGGCACCCGCGAUCGGCGACUUGGGCUGCGCGGACGGUGGUCGACGGCGGUGCUUCCUCGGCGUGCUGGUGGCGGCGGCAGCUCUCGUGUCUCGCAGGGCUUCGCUUGGUGGGUUUGUGAUGGCUCAGCUGUAGAGAGGCACCUCCUUUUAUAGUUGUUAGGAUUAGGGUUACUUAGGGUUUCUCUCUGUUGGGCCUUUUCCACUUGGGCCUGGGCCGGGGUGUUACACGUUAGGUAAACAAAAAGAUCCUCAUCAUCAACAAUAUUUAAAGGUGUCUCACAUCCUACCACCAGUGGCAUGUAGCUCAAUUCCAAUUUUUCCUUGCUUUCAUCCAACCCAAGCUUCUUAUACAUCCUCUCUUCUAUCAUUGACAAAGUCGUAUCCUCUACUGAUGUCUUCAGAGUUAUACUAAACAUCCGGUCUUUGAAUUUAAAAUGUACGCUGACAUGAUUUCUCAUUGUAUCCUGCCAAAAAAAAAAUGAAAAAACUCAACAAAUUGAAUUUCGUAUCAAGUGCGAACCGAUCUAUGCCCCUACUGCCAAUACACUCCCAUUCAACCACAUAAAUGCAUUUUGUACCACUUUACUAUACUGAUUGACCCAGACACGAAACAAUGCCGUUGUGCAUUAUUCCUAAAUCGAAUUACAAUUCAAUUACGAUGAAAGCUCGAGGCGGAGACCACAACUUACCGGCUUCGACGGAAUGCUAGACGUCGGGAAAGGACUAGUCUAUGGCGACAGACGGCGUCGCUCCACAAUCUUUGGGAAAACGAGAACGAGCUGCGGGGAUGGAGCUGAGGACGGAUUCAGAGCUAUGGAUUUCUUGAGGAUCGAAGGGAAGAUCGAAGGGGAGAGGAAGUUUAGUUGUCUAAUUAAUUUUUUUUUUUUUUUUUUUGUUUUUUUUACAAAACCACCCAAAACCAGACCGGUUUCACAAGGAAACCUAACCACAACCAUACUUGUUCGGUUAGCAUUCUGACCGGUUUCCUUUGAAAUGCUCGAUUUUUUUAACUAAGGGCAAAUUCGUCAAUUCGCGUUCGUUUAAUGAAUCAAGAGCAUAGGAGAUUAUGCAGACCCAUAGAAGAUUUGGCCAUCACAUCACAUGGAGGGGCAGGGGAGCUAUUUCCCCUUUUUUCCCCUUUAUACAAUUCAGAAAUCUUCCAUUACUCUAUUUUCUCUAUAUUCCUCUUCAAUCAAG